GAUGGAACUCUUUCCCAUACUUGGUUGGACGAGUUAAAGGGAAUGUUGAACAAAAAAUACAAAUAUUGUCUGAGAAAUAGCGACAUUGACUUGAGUUUGGAGAAAUUGAAAAUAAUUUUUGAGACGCAAGACUUGGAUUUAUUAUCGCCAAGUUCGCUCAGUGAAAUUAUCUCGAUUUAUUUUGGAGAAGUACAAAUAGGAUGGCCAGAAGUAGUAAUGCCCUGGCUGGAGGAACUUGAUGACACUCCUUUAAAACUGGAGUUGAAACUUUUAGCAUCAGAGUGUCUGCAAAAGUGUUUCGACUUUAAAAAUUCCUAUUGCAAUGAAAUCGUAGCUCAAAAUGAACUCGCCUGCGCUAAAAAUUUGUGUUCGAUUUUG